ACCCGCUGAACUUAAGCAUAUCAAUAAGCGGAGGAAAAGAAACCAACAGGGAUUGCCUUAGUAACGGCGAGUGAAGCGGCAACAGCUCAAAUUUGAAAUCUGUCUCUUUUAGAGUCCGAGUUGUAAUUUGUAGAGGAUGUUUCGGGCGUGGUCCGGUCUAAGUUCCUUGGAACAGGACGUCAUAGAGGGUGAGAAUCCCGUAUGCGACUGGGUGCCUAAGCUCAUGUGAAACUCCUUCGACGAGUCGAGUUGUUUGGGAAUGCAGCUCAAAAUGGGUGGUAAAUUUCAUCUAAAGCUAAAUAUUGGCCAGAGACCGAUAGCGCACAAGUAGAGUGAUCGAAAGAUGAAAAGCACUUUGGAAAGAGAGUUAAACAGUACGUGAAAUUGUUGAAAGGGAAGCGCUUGCAACCAGACUUGCAUUCAGUUGAUCAUCCGGCGUUUUCACCGGUGCACUCGAUUGUUUUCAGGCCAGCAUCGGUUUUGGUGGUUGGAUAAAGGCCUUGGGAAUGUAGCUUCUUUCGGGGAGUGUUAUAGCCCUCGGUGCAAUGCAGCCUACCGGGACCGAGGACCGCGCUUCGGCUAGGAUGCUGGCAUAAUGGUUGUAAGCGACCCGUCUUGAAACACGG
rnacentral:rRNA from 1 species